UUCUUCGGGGCGGGGUGCGAUUCCCCACCGGUGGUACAGCCCACAAGCAGCAAUGCAGAUUCGGUGCAAUUCCGAAGCCGACGGUAUAGUCCGGAUGAGAGAAGAA
rnacentral:ncRNA from 1 species